UUGGGAGUGCUCGAAAGAGAACCUGCACACAGGUGCUGCAUGGCCGUCGUCAGCUCGUGUCGUGAGAUGUUGGGUUAAGUCCCGCAACGAGCGCAACCCUUGUCAUUAGUUGCUACGAAAGGGCACUCUAAUGAGACUGCCGGUGACAAACCGGAGGAAGGUGGGGAUGACGUCAGGUCCUCAUGGCCCUUAUGGGUAGGGCUACACACGUCAUACAAUGGCCGGGACAGAGGGCUGCCAACCCGCGAGGGGGAGCCAAUCCCAGAAACCCGGUCGUAGUCCGGAUCGCAGUCUGCAACUCGACUGCGUGAAGUCGGAAUCGCUAGUAAUCGCGGAUCAGCUUGCCGCGGUGAAUACGUUCCCGGGUCUUGUACACACCGCCCGUCACACCAUGGGAGCGGGUUCUGCCAGAAGUAGUUAGCCUAACCGCAAGGAGGGCGAUUACCACGGCAGGGUUCGUGACUGGGGUGAAGUCGUAACAAGGUAGCCGUAUCGGAAGG
rnacentral:rRNA from 1 species